CGCCGCGCUCACCUUCCCUCCCGCGGCAGAGUGCUCCCUCGACGGGGCCGCCCCAACCAUCGCCCUCCUCAUCCGCCAUCGCGAUCCACUCCUCGACGCAAUCCAUCUACCCCACAGAACUGCUGCCGGCGUGGCAGAUCUCCUCCUCGGCACCUAGAUCUCCUCGGCGCGAUCAACGGCUGAGCCCGCUGCCCCCACCACACAACCGAUAUGCUCUCCAUGGAAGGUCAGGGACCUGCUCGCCCAUGAUCUCCAUGGAAGGUGGUCUACUGUCGACGGCCUCUCCCUCGUGCUCCUUCGUCAACCCCGUCCGCCGCGCCGCCGAGCCCCGAGAUCGCGCCGAUCCGCCAUUCUCGCGCCCUCGCCCCGACACGCGCUCACCACCGGCCCUCACCAACCUCCACUCGCGUUCCCCACACCACCCUCCACCCCAUCCGCGUCCGCCCCAUCCGUAGCACGCGGGCUGCAGCCGCCCCAUCCCUAAAAUGUGGGCGCUGGCGCUACCACGGCUCCGCACCAUGCCUCCGCGCUGCCAGACAGCGCCGGGCGAUACCAUGCCCCCACCCCGGCUUCUUCCUGCCAGUGUAAUCGGCCACUACUUCUCCACUGCUGCUCGCCGUCUCCUCAACCACCGCUGCGCCACACAAUCCUCCCGCGACGUGUCUGAUUCAAGCCAGGAUGUCUCACAGGAGGAGCAGCGGAAGCCCGAACCGAAUCCAACCGAGUCAUCUCAACGACUCCGCCAGUUUCCAAUCGCCCCUUUUUUAGGCGUUCAAGUUCCUUCGAGAUGAUGACAAGCAGAGGAGAGAGAUAGCGUCUCCUUCAAUCCCUCUGGCGACACCAACAACGCAUCCCCGUGGCCAUCCUCGAUUCUCCUUGCCAAGGAGGCGACAGCCAAGUCGUCGCGGUCACGGCCGGCGAUCCACUCGAGGGUGUUCCUGGUGAGUAGCACCACUGCGGUGGGGAUCGGGGAUGGGGGAGGCGGCAAUGGCGAUGGCGGGGUGCAGCUCGCCGACAACCUUAAGAUCUUCAAGGCUGACAACUUCGAUCUCGACGUCUAGAUUCCUUCCAAGGCUCUGUGCAGCUGUUCAUCCAUUUCUCCCUUCGAUGUCGGUGUUUGUCCCUGCUAUGUGUGUUGGAUCACCAUUGACAUAUAUGUGGAACUGCCUAAGGACCACUUCAAAUGUGUAUGUAGCAGCUUCAGCACAGCAACCAGCAAUGGCCCCAUAGAGAGAAUGCAGAUAAGCCAUCUUCAGUAUGCCAUACACUCCAUAGAAUACAACGCCAGAGGAUGCCAUACUGAUAAGAGAAGGCACCAAUCCCUUAUACAGCGAGAAGAAUCCUUCAGUUUGGAUCAUGUGGCGGGCAACACCAAUGACCCCACCUAAAGCUUCACCACCAGGAGCAUCCAUCUUUGUCCUGAUCUGAAACCAACAGCUCAAAUCAGGAUCUUACAUCGUUUCUGGACAACACUACAGGGAUCUUGUGAAGACAUAGGAUGGUUGCAAAGAACUCGGGCAUCACUUCGUUCAGUUGAUGGGACAGGUCACUUCAAGGAGAUUUUGCAUGAGAUAAGGUGGAACAAUCACUUCUCAUCACAGGUUUUGGAUAUGAACAUGAUGAUGCUAGGAUGACCAAUAUAAAUUUGUUUAAGGAAUUUACUGCCCUAAGCAGGGUAAGUGUUUCCUGAACUACAAUUGUUUUUUUUGGCUUUUUGCAGAUCUGCACAUCUGAAUUUCCUAUUAUCCUGUUGGGCUGCCUCUUUUUUGGAGUGACUGUAGCAACCACUUCUAAUUCAUUUUCAAUUGUAUUGAACUGGAUGUUGACCUUCCUAGCAUAAUUAGCUCUAUUUUUUAAAAAAAUAGUUCAUUAUGUAUGUUUCUAUUUUUUAUGGUACCGCCUAUGUUUAUAUAAAUUUAGCCUAGCACUGCUUGAAUAACAAGUGAUUGAAUGAGGCUCAUAUGCAACCAUUAAAUCAAUAUUUAUGAACCAAUGUUUGUUAAAGUAAUAAAACAUUUACAAGGACCAUCGAUGACCUCAAGAAGCUGGUGGUGGCGUAGAUGGGAACGCACCCCGAGAAGAUUUGCAUCUAGAGGUGGUGACCCCACCUCUGUCCUCAACCGCCACCUCGUACCUCGUCUUCGGCGCCGCCGGCUCCUGCCCCCCUUGGCACGCCUUCGGGGUCCUCGCUGGCGGCAAGCACCUCCGUCCCGGAGGCAUCUGCCGCUGCAGCAUAGACCACCGCGUCCUCGCUCAGCAGCACCGAUGUCGAUGAUGGCAACAAGGAGGACGGCUCCGCGAGCACCCCCGAGAUCUGCUGCUGCCACUCCCACGCAGCUCUUGCUUGUGAGAUCUGUGUGCAGGUUGAUGUCCUCGUGGCGCCACGCCGACCUCACCGCCACCAAGCGCGCCACCCAUGUCCUCACCGACCUCGCCAAAAACUAUAAGAAUAGGUGUAGUCACUGUCGGGGUGUACAUCCAAUUGAGUUUUGAGUUGGUGUUUAGCUUUCCCUUACCAGGGACGGAUCAAAGCACCGUAAUAAGUGUCGAUAUAGCUCUUUCAAUUGCGCCUAUUGUUUUGUGCGGGCUAUAUGGAUCAAGGAACCCUCUUUGCAGCAGAGGUUUGUUUUGUGUUCUGCUGCUAGUAGUCGCAUGUCAGUUUAAUCUUUUGAGUUCUGGAA